rnacentral:rRNA from 1 species
AGCGAACGCUGGCGGCAUGCCUAACACAUGCAAGUCGAACGAGACCUUCGGGUCUAGUGGCGCACGGGUGCGUAACGCGUGGGAACCUGCCCUUAGGUUCGGAAUAACUCCCCGAAAGGGGUGCUAAUACCGGAUAAUGUCUCCGGACCAAAGAUUUAUCGCCUUUGGAUGGGCCCGCGUUGGAUUAGCUAGUUGGUAGGGUAAAAGCCUACCAAGGCGACGAUCCAUAGCUGGUCGGAGAGGAUGAUCAGCCACACUGGGACUGAGACACGGCCCAGACUCGUACGGGAGGCAGCAGUGGGGAAUAUAGGACGAGGGGCGAAAGCCUGAUCCAGCAGUGCCGCGUGAGUGAUGAAGGCCUUAGGGUUGUAAAGCUCUUUUACCCGGGAUGAUAAUGACAGUACCGGGAGAAUAAGCACCGGCUAACUCCGUG